GCUCCGAACAAGGCUUGUGUGUCUCUUUUUCUGAUAUAUGACACCUUUAAAGAACAGAAUAAAACCUAUUGUUGUUUGUGAAAUAGAUUGAAAUGUUUUAAACUGGAGCCUAAAGUUGAAAUAAAGUUAUUCAACAGGAAAUACGUAUUAAAUUCAUCAUCAGACACAUUGACCUGAUGAAUAGCAGAGUUCCCCGGAUGUGUUUGGUUUUAAUAGCGAGCUGUUUUGAUUGUGAAAAGCUGUUUGAACACCCGCGUAUAGUGCUGUUGAGGAAACUCCGCCCUUGUUAAGCCUCUGAUGACCCACUCCUGUGAAGACUUGUUUUUGGUCCGUGUGGAGCGUCGCAGAAGCCGCGCUACACGUGUCAACCCCGUCGGUGGAGUCCCUGAGGAGAUCCGACUCCUUCUUCACGCAUCUCUGAUCGGAAGUGAUUUGAACAGCGCGGGCUUCAGAGUUCGCGGGUUCGCUCAGAAUAGAGUCUCCAAUCCCGGGGGAGAGGAAAUCCAUGUGUGGAUCCGCACGUUGUAGAGACUUCACCCUCUGAUCAUGAACCACUCGGGUCAGCAUGAGUGACAUUUGAGACACUACGUUGUGAGUCGAAGCCGAUGAACGUGGAUUUCUAAAGCCUGGUUGUCCUUAGCGUGACUCUUUCGCCCAUGAGACCUGGCGAGUCCUCCGCCACGCUCACUUGCACUUCGCGGUGCUUUGACCCGCAGCACUUGGGUAGAAACUUUGUUGAGAGACUAACAUGAUCGAGAAACUAGCGCUGGAAGAUCCUAAACCUAACCUGGAGGAGACCAAAGAGGACCAUGCCCGGCAGGAGGAGACGGUGGACGCGUCGCUGUGCGCCGACGAACCCAAGCUGAAGGACGGUCAAGAGGCGACGCGGACCACCCGGCUGUACCGCCGGCGCUGGAUGAUCGUGCUCCUCUUCAGCUUCUACUCUCUGUCCAACUCCUUCCAGUGGAUCCAGUACGGCAUCAUCAGCAACAUCUUCAUGAAGUUCUACAACGUGGACACCUUCACCAUAGACUGGAUGUCCAUGAUCUACAUGCUGACGUACAUCCCCUUCAUAUUCCCGGUCACCUGGCUCCUGGACAAGCGGGGGCUCCGGGUCAUCGCGCUGGUGGCCACCGCACUCAACUGCGCCGGGACGUGGAUCAAGGUGGCCAGUGUCCGACAGGACCUGUUCGCCGUCACCUUCCUGGGCCAGUUCUGCUGCUCCCUGGCGCAGGUGUUCAUCCUCGGGAUGCCGUCGAGGAUCGCGUCGGUGUGGUUCGGCUCGGAGGAGGUGUCCACCGCCUGCUCCAUCGGAGUCUUCGGGAAUCAGCUGGGCAUCGCCAUCGGGUUCCUGGUGCCUCCCAUCCUGGUGCCUAAUGUGGACGACAUGGACGAGCUGGCUCACCACAUCAGCAUCAUGUUCUACAUCACAGCAGGAGUGGCCACCUUACUCUUCAUCCUUGUUGUCUUCGUCUUCCAGGAACGUCCCGAACUCCCCCCGACUCAGGCCCAGGCCACAGCUCGGAGCAUCCCACCGGAGCAGUACUCCUACACUGCCUCCGUCCUCAGGCUGCUGCGCAACAGGCCCUUCAUCUUCCUCAUCAUCACUUACGGUCUGAACGUAGGAUGCUUCUAUGCCGUUGGAACCCUGCUCAACCGCAUGAUCAUCGACCAUUACCCUGGAGAAGAGGUGAAUGCUGGGAGGAUCGGCCUCACCAUUGUCAUUGCAGGGAUGGUUGGCUCUCUCAUCUGCGGCAUCUGGUUGGACAAGACUAAAACCUACAAGCAGACCACCCUUGGUGUCUACUUCAUGUCUCUGGUGGGGAUGAUCAUCUACGCGGCUACACUCAGUCUGGGACACCUCUGGGUGGUCUUCAUCACAGCUGGAACUCUCGGGUUCUUCAUGACAGGCUACCUGCCGCUGGGCUUUGAGUUCGCUGUGGAGCUGACGUACCCAGAGUCAGAGGGAACCUCCUCUGGACUCCUCAACUGUUCAGCACAGGUUUUUGGCAUCAUAUUCACCAUCUGCCAGGGAAAGAUCAUCAACGCCUUUGGCACGCUGGCAGGAAACAUCUUCCUCUGCGUCUUUCUUCUGAUCGGCACAAUAUUGACAGGUUUUAUCAAGUCUGACCUGCGGAGACAAAGGGCUAACCUCUUGGCCAGAGCAGCAGAGGAGGAGGGGCAGAUGUCCGGACGAGACUACGGAGCCACCACACUAAUCUCCCAGCAGCCGGCUCCUCCCUCUCAACCCUGAUCAAUAAACCUUUCUGCUUCCGACACAAAAACUAAACAAUCAUCAUCUUCAAAUCAUUGCUCAACACGCAGCCGCACAGAGGGUCCCACCGACUGCCGUGAUGUGAGCCUGACCACGCCUUCUAUCAUCAGUGAAGCCCAGUUAUAGACGCACACGUGCACUAACAAGAAAACGCUUGGAGAAGAACAAAGACCUUCCUGUUUCAAUGUAACAAACUGACAGUAGAGCCACACAAUCAGGAAGUGACUUCCCUUGUAAAGAAGAUUUUAAAUGUUUAAUUAUUUUUUUAGAAAAAAGAAAUACCUUGUUCCUAAAAGUAUUUGUUUAUAUUUAACUAUAGAUAUAAUUGCUCUUUCCAAAAUCAAAUGUUUGUUUGUGUCUUGACAAUUUUACCUGUCAGUAUUUUCAGUGUGCAGUUGAUUAUGUACAACUGUUGAUUGACGAGAAAGUAUUUUGAGGCAGAUAAUUUAUACGACAGCUUAUUGAAGGCUUUCUGAUCCAUUGUGGUUCUCAAGGAGUAAAUACUGAUGACGCAUGUUUGUGCGAGUUUUAUAAUACCUUUCAUGUUUCCUGCUUAUUUAACAUGAAAUAAAACUGUUUUAUCAA